rnacentral:ncRNA from 2 species
CACAAUUAAUAUAAUAUAACCUGUAUAACCUCAAGAAUAUGGCUUGAGGGUCUCUACCAGGAACCUUAAAAAUCCUGAUUACAGAAAAUGAAUGAAUCAUU